rnacentral:rRNA from 1 species
AGAUUGAACGCUGGCGGCAGGCCUAACACAUGCAAGUCGAACGGUAACAGGAAGAAGCUUGCUUCUUUGCUGACGAGUGGCGGACGGGUGAGUAAUGUCUGGGAAACUGCCUGAUGGAGGGGGAUAACUACUGGAAACGGUAGCUAAUACCGCAUAACGUCGCAAGACCAAAGAGGGGGACCUUCGGGCCUCUUGCCAUCGGAUGUGCCCAGAUGGGAUUAGCUUGUUGGUGGGGUAACGGCUCACCAAGGCGACGAUCCCUAGCUGGUCUGAGAGGAUGACCAGCCACACUGGAACUGAGACACGGUCCAGACUCCUACGGGAGGCAGCAGUGGGGAAUAUUGCACAAUGGGCGCAAGCCUGAUGCAGCCAUGCCGCGUGUAUGAAGAAGGCCUUCGGGUUGUAAAGUACUUUCAGCGGGGAGGAAGGGAGUAAAGUUAAUACCUUUGCUCAUUGACGUUACCCGCAGAAGAAGCACCGGCUAACUCCGUGCCAGCAGCCGCGGUAAUACGGAG